CCAUGAGUGCAGUAUUGGAGUAAAACCUCUUAGUUAAAUGAUCACCAUUAGGACUUGGUUUUGUCAAAUCCUUUAUGCCUCUUCACCUUCAUCAUAGCUGGAGUGCCAGUGGCUUACAUCGUUGCUGGCACACUACACUUCAGGGAGACGGGCAGGAUUGUCAGAGCGAGCUCAAACUGCAGUUUUGCCGCAAGCUCUCAUUUACCCAAAGUUUUUGGCUCUUGGGUGUUAUCCUGGGAGCACCCAAUACGCAAACCAGCAUCCAGCGGCACAGUGAGGAUCACAUCACCACGGGAAGCUCCUGAAAGCAUCCAUAAAACUCCGGAGAGAAUUGAGAAUGUAAUACUGAUCUGAUAAAGCGCUGCGCCUUAUACCUGGGUCAGCAGUAGAAACACAUACUUGCCUUGAAGCAAAAUGACAAACUGAGAGGCCAAAAUGCUUUGCAAGCGUUUCACUGUCAAAAGUCAAACUGUAUGUGGCGUAAAUACGUGUGCUUUUUCUGGUGGGACUUCACAAACCCCCUUUUUUUUUUUAAACCUUUCUAUAGAUAUUUUCUGCCAAUUAACCCUGCCUCAGGAGAGAUUUGCCUAUCUCAAGCCCCAGCUUUGCGCCUGUGCAGCUCGCGGCGUCACUCUCCCUACGUCUCAGGUAUAAUUUGCAUGCCUCGGUCAAGGCUAAACUGAAGCGGAUGAAGCGUUGCGGUUUGAAGGUCUCCCUGCUUUAUCUGCCGACUCCUAAAAGCCAGACAUAUUUGCAUUGCUUUUCAUUUCCGCAGGCUUGGCAGUACGAAUGAUAAAGGAAGAGGAGCACACUGUACAAACCUUGCUCAACAAAGGAAGCUGUAGCUAAUGAUUUGCAUAUGGAGAAUGCGAGGAUAAGGCCCACACAGGGCUGCCUCGGAUGUUAUUAUCGGCCUCCCAUCAUCGCUGGGAGCUGAUGCCUGUCAACAUCCAGUGCACAGCCGCAAAGAGAGGGUCUAGGUCACACCUUGGUGUCAGAUGUGGCAGUCUCCCCCGGCAAAGUCACUCUCACGUGAACCACAAAAAUCUAUAUUUCAAUAGAGGAUAUUGUUUUCCGGUUCACCAAACUUGUAGAUCUGACGAGUGAACUCCCUCCAGUGCCCGUUCAGGGCUCGGACCCAUCAAUUUCACAGCUUUAUGUUGACCUGUCUCUUACAAUGCUCUCAGCUGUGCUCCCGGAUAUAUUUUAUUUACAACAUUUUAAUCAUGCAGAAGAUUAAUGAAAAUUUGAUCACUGUACAUUAUUCAACUUGUCCCCCUGGAGAGGGGUCUGCUUAAUGGCAUGACACAAUGCCUGUAUUGAAUAGUUAUCAUGCGCCACAACAUUUAUCUCCUGUCCAUCUGAUUGUAUUGAGCUUCGGCAAAAAUAAAUGUCUUGCUCCACAACGGUGGUAUCUCUUUAACUCUUACUUAUUCUGCACCUUCCUUUGGCUGUGACAUUAUCAUGUCUGCAUAUCAGUCUGUAAAAUCAUAAUAUGUGAAGUGCGGC
rnacentral:lncRNA from 1 species